rnacentral:rRNA from 1 species
UGCGUAGGCGGAUCAAUAAGUCAGUGGUGAAAUCUUUCGGCUCAACCGAGAAACUGCCAUUGAUACUGUUAGUCUUGAGUUCGGUUGAGGUAGGCGGAAUGUGUAAUGUAGCGGUGAAAUGCUUAGAUAUUACACAGAACACCAAUUGCGUAGGCAGCUUACUAGACCGACACUGACGCUGAGGCACGAAAGCGUGGGGAGCGAACAGGAUUAGAUACCCUGGUAGUCC